GAUGAAGAACGCAGUGAAAUGCGAUAAGUAGUGUGAAUUGCAGAAUUCAGUGAAUCAUCGAAUCUUUGAACGCACAUUGCGCCCCUUGGUAUCCCGAGGGGCAUGCCUGUUCGAGCGUCAUUUCACCUCUCAAGCCUGGCUUGGUGUUGGGCGACGUCCUCUUUGGGGACGCGCCUCGAAACGCUCGGCGGCGUGGCACCGGCUUUAAGCGUAGCAGAAUCUUUCGCUUUGGAAGUCGGGGCCCCGUCUGCCGGAAGACCUGCUCGCAAGGUUGACCUCGGAUCAGGCAGGGAUACCCGCUGAACUUAAGCAUAUCAAUAAGCGGAGGA
rnacentral:misc_RNA from 1 species